CAGUAGCCGCGGGAAUACGGAGGGUGCAAGCGUUAAUCGGAAUUACUGGGCGUAAAGCGCACGCAGGCGGUCUGACAAGUCAGAUGUGAAAUCCCCGGGCUUAACCUGGGAACUGCAUUUGAAACUGUCAGGCUGGAGUCUUGUAGAGGGGGGUGGAAUUUCAGGUGUAGCGGUGAAAUGCGUAGAGAUCUGGAGGAAUACCGGUGGCGAAGGCGGCCCCCUGGACAAAGACUGACGCUCAGGUGCGAAAGCGUGGGGAGCAAACAGGAUUAGAUACCCCGGUAGUCCCUGUCUCUUAUAA
rnacentral:rRNA from 1 species